ACCCGACACAGGCAGACGAGGAGAGAAGCCUAAGGUGAUCGAGAGAACUCUCGUUAAGGAACUCGGCAAAAUGACCCCGUAACUUCGGGAGAAGGGGUGCUCUGGUAGGGUGUAUAGCCCGAGAGAACCACAGUGAAUAGGCCCAGACGACUGUUUAGCAAAAACACAGGUCUCUGCGAAGCCGCAAGCCGAAGUAUAGGGGCUGACGCCUGCCCGGUGCUGGAAGAAUUAGAGGAGGGGUUAUCCUUUGGGAGAAGCUCUGAAUCGAAGCCCCAGUAAUCGGCGGCCGUAACUAUUACGGUCCUAAG
rnacentral:rRNA from 2 species